AAAAAUUAGCCGGGUUUGGCCCCUAGCUCAGUUGCAGCCAUUGCUGGAGCUGCUUCGCAACCCUUUUCAGGACCCAACCUACUGCAGCCGCUAUUCCCAGGAUGGUGAUCCGUGUAUAUAUUACAUCUUCCUCUGGCUCUACGGCGAUUAAGAAGAAACAGCAAGAUGUGCUUGGUUUCUUAGAAGCCAACAAAAUAGGAUUUGAAGAAAAAGAUAUUGCAGCAAAUGAAGAGAAUCGGAAGUGGAUGAGAGAAAAUGUACCUGAAAACAGUCGACCAGCCACAGGGUACCCCCUGCCACCUCAGAUUUUCAAUGAAAGCUAGUACCGUGGGGACUAUGAUGCCUUCUUUGAAGCCAGAGAAAAUAAUGCAGUGUAUGCCUUUUUAGGCUUGACAGCACCACCUGGUUCAAAGGAAGCAGAAGCCCAGGCAAAGCAGCAAGCAUGAACCUUAAGUAUUCUGCCUUAAGCUUCCUGAAAAAUGAGUCUCCAUUACUUUCAUAGAAUAGCAAAAUUAUUUUGGCUUCAAAAACAGUAAGCUUAAUG